UUGUCCUGUAUUUUUUUUUUUUUUUGUUAGCAUCUAUUUGUUGGAUAUUUUACACUGGUUAAUUGUAGGUUAAUUAAAACAUUGCUUAGUUGCUGGGCUAUUUAGUAGUAUAGAUAACUGUUUAGUUAUUACUUGUUUAGUUAAAUUACACGACUUUUUUUUCAAGUACCUCUAUAAUUUGACACCCCCCCCCCCCCCCCCCCC